AGUCGAUUCGAUUUACCUUCGGGUAAUGAGGAUGGCGGACGGGUGAGUAACGCGUAAGGAACUUGCCUCUUGGACUGGGACAACUGUUGGAAACGACAGCUAAUACCGGAUAUUAUGAGAUUCUCGCAUGAGAAACUUAUGAAAGCUAUAUGCGCCAAGAGAGAGCCUUGCGUUCCAUUAGCUAGUUGGUGGGGUAAUGGCCCACCAAGGCGACGAUGGAUAGCCGGCCUGAGAGGGUGAACGGCCACAAGGGGACUGAGACACGGCCCUUACUCCUACGGGAGGCAGCAGUGGGGAAUAUUGGACAAUGGGCCACAAGCCUGAUCCAGCAAUUCUGUGUGCACGAUGAAGGUCUUCGGAUUGUAAAGUGCUUUCGUUGGGAAGAAAAAGUGACGGUACCACAGAAGAAGCGACGGUAAAUACGUGCCACAGCCGCGGUAAUACGUAUGUCGCAAGGUUAUCCGGAUUUAUUGGGCGUAAAGCGCG
rnacentral:rRNA from 1 species